rnacentral:lncRNA from 1 species
GGUCUUAUUUUACGAUCGAACUUGAACUCCGCUACCAUGCAUGCAUGGCUUUCGAAGUGUUCCAAGGUUCUGGUUGUGUGGGCAGUACUACACGUGGCGUCCGGGUGGUGCUGGGUAGCCCGACCGACCGGUCCUUGUUGCAACAGCAACACACGGUUACGUAUUUCACCCGGAACGUACACCGGGCGUGGAAAGAAUACGUAUCCGCCCGACGUUGACGUCCACCUCCAAUCCGCGUAUACGGGAAAAAAAUAUUCGUUCGCCUAGCUGGCCGGCCACCUCCAAUUUUUUACAAUUUGGUCUUUUUUUAAAAAAAGUUCACAAUUAGACCCCUGGAAAACUUAAGUGCAGAAAUGGACCCAGAGCUCGGCGCCAUGCAUCAUGGCGUCGAGGUAUCACGUCUCGGCGCCAUGGAUCACGGCGCCGAGCUCCCUGGGCCAAGCCAGCGUGGAUUUUGCGUGGCGGCUUGUGUGGCAAAAAAAAAAAAAAACCAGUCGGCGCCAUGAUCAUGGCGCCGAGCUCGGCGCCACGGAUCUCGGCGCCGAGGUCCUUUCCAAAACGGCCGACCUCUUUCUCUCUGCUUCCUCUCUCCUCGCGCAGCGCUCUGCUCCUGCUCCCGCAC